rnacentral:rRNA from 1 species
CCUACGGGAGGCAGCAGUGGGGAAUAUUGCACAAUGGGGGAAACUCUGAUGCAGCGACGCCGCGUGAGUGAAGAAGUAUUUCGGUAUGUAAAGCUCUAUCAGCCGGGAAGAAGCAAGACGGUACCUGACUAAGAAGCCCCGGCUAACUACGUGCCAGCAGCCGCGGUAGUACGUAGGGGGCAAGCGGUACCCGGAUUUCCUGGGUGUAAAGGGAGCGUAGACGGUGCAGCAAGUCUGAUGUGAAAGGUCGGGGCCCAACCCCGGUACUGCAUUGGAAACUGUUGAACUGGAGUACGGGAGAGGUAAGCGGAAUGCCUGGUGUAGCGGUGAAAUGCGUAGAUAUUAGGAGGAACACCAGUGGCGAAGGCAGCUUACUGGACUAUAACUGACGUUGAGGCUCGAAAGCGUGGGGAGCGAACAGGAUUAGAUACCCGUGUAGUC